UUGGGAAAAUGUUUGUUUUGUUUAACACUGCAUUGAAUGUUCACAAACAAGACCUUUAGACAUUCUUGAUAUGCAGUCUUAAGGAAUCUCCCUCUGUGUGUCUGUCACCAUCAGAAAUGAAUAACGUCAAGUCAUGAAUAAAGUUUAUUUGUGUCCCUGCCCAUAUCAAACUCACUCGGUGAGAAACUAAAGCACUUGAAGCACAAGCUGAGUGUGGAAGCGGACUAUCAUAAGUGAUAUUCUCCACUGUUUGUUGCUUUAUAUCUUCAGAACUUUAGAAGAUUUUUGCUCUAAUUUUCAGAUAUAUUUUAGCUUAAAGUACUUGGAAUAAUGUGUGGGUUACAAAUAUCUUUUGCUGCUGGGCUCAGUGUAUCUACCUUCAAGGAAUCAAUGCCUGAAGAAACCGUUCAGCUCACUUGUAAAAUCAAUGGAUUCUACCCUGAAGAUAUUGACAUAGAGUGGUACAAAGGUGAAGCAGAACCUGUACCAGCAAAGAGUGGACAACUUCUACUGAAUGAUGAUAACACCUACAAGUUCAUCAAGGCUGUGAAUAUGUUUCAUAGAGAAAAUAAAGAACCUUUGUUCUACUGCCAAAUGACAAAUUCCGGGAUGCCACAAUAACUCAUUGUGCCCUCGAAUAAAAAAGGAUAAAAAUCAAGCAAAGUCAAGAGAUCAGUCCUAUUUUAAUCAAACCUUUGAACUACACAAUGGAUCAACGAGGUUCAAGGCCAGAAAACAAUCAGUGGGAAACAAAUUAUGGGAGCUGUUGGGUGGUCUUAUGAGCAAAGAUGUCUGUCCAUCUGAUCUUCUGUAAGAGGAGUCUUCAUAAAUAUUUUUCCUUCAUUCUAAGUACAGUGUUCAUAUUUCAUUGUAAGGCAAUAGGUCACCAAUCACACACUUAUUGGAAAUUGCAAAGUCAAAUUAGAAGUGAACAUUUUUAAAGGUUUUUUUGACUAAUCAUGGACACCUUCUUUUGAAGAGAUUUGUAUAAUUUGGUUAGCUCAGUUACAGUCUAAUCUAAUUGUAUCUGCAUCUCAGUAAAUAUUAACAAUGAUUAUGUUAAAAAUCAAAAUGUUAGUAAAAGGAGCUUAAAAGUAAAGAACACUUUAGAAACAACUUGUAGAGUAUAGAGAGAGCAAAGGGAAACUGUCUACUGACUCGAUUUCUUGAAAUAUCAAUCUACUUAAAUCAUUUAAUAAAUUUGUUUGCAUUCA